GAUGAACGCUAGCGGCAGGCCUAACACAUGCAAGUCGAGGGGUAACUAGAGUGAUAGCAAUAUUACUUUGGCUAGACCGGCGCACGGGUGCGUAACACGUAUGCAACCUACCUUAUACUGGGGAAUAACCUCGAGAAAUCGGCGCUAAUACCCCAUAACACUGCGGAGAGGCAUCUCUUUGCAGUUAAAGCUCCGGCGGUAUAAGAUGGGCAUGCGUCCAAUUAGCUAGUUGGUGAGGUAACGGCUCACCAAGGCUACGAUUGGUAGGGGUUCGGAGACGAUAAACCCCCACACUGGUACUGGGACACGGACCAGACUCCUACGGGAGGCAGCAGUGAGGAAUAUUGCGCAAUGGACGAAAGUUUGACGCAGCCAUGCCGCGUGCAGGAUGACGGCCCUAUGGGUUGUAAACUGCUUUUGUACGGGAAUAAACCCUUCUACGUGUAGGAGGCUGAAGGUACCGUAAGAAUAAGCACCGGCUAACUCCGUGCCAGCAGCCGCCGUAA
rnacentral:rRNA from 1 species